CCCACCUCUGACGUUUUUCCCUUGUAGUUCUGUGAUAUGAGCAACAAUGGACCAGAAGAUUUUAUCUCUAGCAGCAGAAAAAACAGCAGACAAACUGCAAGAAUUUCUUCAAACCCUGAGAGAAGGUGAUUUGACUAAUCUCCUUCAGAAUCAAGCAGUGAAAGGAAAAGUUGCUGGAGCACUCCUGAGAGCCAUCUUCAAAGGUAAUAAUAAUUAAUGUCACUUCUGUCUGUCUCCUGCAUUCAUUGGUAGAUUUGUUUAGUUUUGGUACUUUUCUUACUGUUUGAAGCCCCACUGGAACAUUUUCCAUGUUUUGAGGAUUCUACAGAUCAACUGCAGCAGCAGUUUCCUGUCUAGUGGACUUAAGUAAUUUUACUGAAGGGAGUUUGAAGUGGCUACCUGAGAUUGUGUUGCUUAUUUGGGGGCCUGGAAUUACAGAAUGUGCUUUUCGUAAAAUCUGCUUUGGUUUACUUGUGCUUUUAAGAUUGUGGAGAAGAGAACAGCAGUGUUUAAUACAUAAUCCAUGCUUAACAAGGGGUGAGUAACCUCUGGGGUUUAAUGCAAUGGGGUAUCUUAAGGUGCCUUAUACAGAGAUUCUUCAUGCCCGGUGAGACAUACUUGUUUUCCUGUCUUGAACAAGGGCUAGUUUAAGUUGUUGCAGAUUGUGAUUUAUAGUGGUUUUAUAAAUUCUGGUAGGAUAAAAUUUUAUAAGGCAAAAAUUAAAAGUGUCUUUGGACUCUUAAUUAGGUAUGUUAACUUGGUUUAUUUUUCUUCCC
rnacentral:sRNA from 1 species